GCAAUGAUCCCAGUUUUUGUGGAAAACAUGCAUCAUGUCAUAACACUGCUGGAGGUUUCUACUGCAUCUGUGAAGCUGGAUUCAGACUAAAGUCAGGAGGAAAUAUCUUCAAUGAUACAAGUGAACUCUGUGAGAAGCUUAAGUGUGACAGAUUUUUAAGUGAGAAAGACACAUCCCAGACAUCUCCAGAGCUCUCAAAACUCGUCUCUUUGAUGACCGACAGCUGUCUGAUAAUGAAUCAGAGGAUUUCUGAGUGAUCUAGAUGAUCUGAAUCACGGUGGAUUCAGUGGUGAUAAUUAUAUGAUCUCAGCAUUGUUUAGGAUUGUGGUAAACAUACUAAAACUGAUCGGACAUCUGCUGUCAGCAAGCCGAACCAGGAAAAUAAGUGCUAAAGCUGAAGUGGAGCUGUUAGUAAAGAGGGGCAAUUCUCCACCUGAGGGUGAUUUCAGGAUGAAUAUCAGUGGAGCACAGUUAACCUCCCACUGGGACACAGCAACAGGAAAUACAUACCACGGCUUCACGACUGCAGCUCUCCUCAGCUACAAAGGUCUGGAUGAAUCACUCAACUGCUGUUUUAACCAUUUAGAGACACAGAAAAAGCAAACUUAUAAGAUUAAUUCAAAAGUAGUAACUGCCACUUUUAUUAACGCUGAGACAACCAACCUAAAUAAAUCAAUAAAGCUCACGUUUUCUCACUUGAAGAAAAAGAAUGAGAAGCAUAUGUGUGUGUUUUGGGAUCCUGAGCUGGACGGGGGCGCGUGGUCAACACUUGGCUGCUCUACAGUGAGCUCCAGAGCCGAUCAGACCGUCUGCUCCUGUAAUAAACUCGGCAGUUUUGCUGUGCUGACGGUUCUCUGUGACACUGGGGUCUGUAGGCCUACUCUUAACUUUUGUCAGCUUGACAGCAAACCUUGAGCUAAAUGAACAUCUCUUUUCCACCCUCAAAUACUGAGGUGCCCUUAAACAAAGACAUCUAACCCCCAGUUUUAAAUGGCUACUGAACCACUGCUGUGUGUGAAUGGGAUAAAUGCAGAAGACAAACUCAGAGUAUUGGAGGAUAUAAGGAUCUUCAAAUUCAAACUGUGUGUGUUUGUGCAUUUCAAGGCUUUUAUUGUCACAGUUGUUGUGAAGUAAUUUUCCAUUGCUAUUAAUAACAUUUGUCGGAUUUGUGUUUGUCAUGUGAAGCCUGAGCAUUGAAACAUAUGCAACUAAAAUUAUUCAAUAAACUUUUAAUCAACAUUA